rnacentral:rRNA from 1 species
GAUGAACGCUGGCGGCGUGCCUAAUACAUGCAAGUCGAGCGAACAGACGAGGAGCUUGCUCCUCUGACGUUAGCGGCGGACGGGUGAGUAACACGUGGAUAACCUGCCUAUAAGACUGGGAUAACUUCGGGAAACCGGAGCUAAUACCGGAUAAUAUAUUGAACCGCAUGGUUCAAUAGUGAAAGACGGUUUUGCUGUCACUUAUAGAUGGAUCCGCGCCGCAUUAGCUAGUUGGUAAGGUAACGGCUUACCAAGGCAACGAUGCGUAGCCGACCUGAGAGGGUGAUCGGCCACACUGGAACUGAGACACGGUCCAGACUCCUACGGGAGGCAGCAGUAGGGAAUCUUCCGCAAUGGGCGAAAGCCUGACGGAGCAACGCCGCGUGAGUGAUGAAGGUCUUCGGAUCGUAAAACUCUGUUAUUAGGGAAGAACAAAUGUGUAAGUAACUAUGCACGUCUUGACGGCACCUAAUCAGAAAGCCACGGCUAACUACGUG